AGUGAACGCUGGCGGUAGGCCUAACACAUGCAAGUCGAACGGCAGCACAGUAAGAGCUUGCUCUUACGGGUGGCGAGUGGCGGACGGGUGAGGAAUACGUCGGAAUCUACUUUUUCGUGGGGGAUAACGUAGGGAAACUUACGCUAAUACCGCAUACGACCUACGGGUGAAAGCAGGGGAUCUUCGGACCUUGCGCGAUUGAAUGAGCCGAUGUCGGAUUAGCUAGUUGGCGGGGUAAAGGCCCACCAAGGCGACGAUCCGUAGCUGGUCUGAGAGGAUGAUCAGCCACACUGGAACUGAGACACGGUCCAGACUCCUACGGGAGGCAGCAGUGGGGAAUAUUGGACAAUGGGCGCAAGCCUGAUCCAGCCAUGCCGCGUGGGUGAAGAAGGCCUUCGGGUUGUAAAGCCCUUUUGUUGGGAAAGAAAAGCAGCAGGUUAAUACCCCGCUGUUCUGACGGUACCCAAAGAAUAAGCACCGGCUAACUUCGUG
rnacentral:rRNA from 1 species